AUAAUUUUAUCUUACUUUUCUUUUAAUUUUUUUUAUGAGAAAUAUCUUUUUAUUUAGUAUAUUAAAGAACAAUAUAUAAUUAGUUAUAGUACAAUAGUACCGUGAGGGAAUUGAUGAAAUAUAUUGAAACUAUUAUUUUUAAUAAGUAUAUUUAAUUUAUUGUACCUUUUGUAUCAGGGUUAAUCUACUAUAUUAAAGUAUUUUUUUGUCUCGAUUUCAGAAGAGCUAACCCAUUAUUUUAAUUAAUGUUUCAUAAUUAUUAAAAAUAUAGGUUAGAGGAGAAACUUUAUUCGGUUCUGAAGGUAUCUAGUUUUUUAAGAAUUAAAUUUAAUUUAUUCCUAUUAUUUAAACUCUAUAUUUUUCUAGAUUUUAUAUAAUAGGAGAAAAAUUGUAGGGGAUAAGCUCUAUAUUUUUCUAUAAAUAAUUAUAAAUAGUAAAAUUUUGUAGGGUUACAAUUAUCCAUCAUUAGAAAGUGUGUUACCAUUUAUUUUUUUUUAUUUUGAUGAUUUUAUAUUUUUUAGUAUAUUAUUAAAAUGACAAAAUGAAUUUUCUAUUUUGGGUAAUAAUGAUUAAAUUAGUAUAUUAUAAUGUUCAUUUUCAUUAAUAAAUAAUGAUAAAAUAAGGACUCGGCAAAAAUAAUUCUCGCCUGUUUAUCAAAAACAUGUCCUUUUGAAUUUAAUUUAAGGUCUGGCCUGCCCAGUGAUUUAUUUAACGGCCGCGGUAUAUUGACCGUGCAAAGGUAGCAUAAUCAUUAGUCUUUUAAUAGAGGGCUGGAAUGAAAGGUUUAACGAGGAAUUAACUGUCUCAUUUUAUUUGUUUUAAAAUUUAAUUUUUUAGUCAAAAAGCUAAAAUAAUAUUGGUAGACGAGAAGACCCUAUAGAUCUUUAUAUCUACUCAUUUAAUUAUUUUUAUAUUAAUAUUUUUAUUUGAUAUUGUAUUUUGUUGGGGUGACAAAAAUAUAAAACUAACUUUUUUAUUUAUAUAACAUUGAUUUAUGAAUACUUGAUCCAUUCUUAUUGAUUAUUAGAUUAAGUUACCUUAGGGAUAACAGCGUAAUCCCCUUCCAGAGUUCAUAUUUACAAGGGGGCUUGCGACCUCGAUGUUGGAUUAAGAUAAUAAUUAGGUGCAGCCGCUUAAUAUAUAGGUCUGUUCGACCUUUAAAC
rnacentral:rRNA from 1 species